GAUGAACGCUGGCGGCGUGCCUAAUACAUGCAAGUCGAACGGUCCGCAAGGAUAGUGGCGAACGGGUGAGUAACGCGUUGGUGACCUGCCCUGAAGUGGGGGAUAACAGAUCGAAAGGUCUGCUAAUACCGCAUAAGCUCUUACGAGUUAGAGAAGUAAGAGGGAAGCCGAAAGGCGCUUUAGGAGGGACCUGCGUCCCAUCAGCUAGUUGGUAAGGUAGUGGCUUACCAAGGCGAUGACGGGUAGGGGACCUGAGAGGGUGGCCCCCCACAAUGGAACUGAAACACGGUCCAUACACCUACGGGUGGCAGCAGUAGGGAAUAUUGGUUAAUGGGCGAAAGCCUGACCCAGCAACGCCGCGUGAACGAUGAAGGCCUUCGGGUUGUAAAGUUCUUUUUACAGGGAUGAGGAAGGACAGUACCUGUAGAAUAAGUCUCGGCUAACUACGUGCCAGCAGCCGCGGUAACACGUAGGAGACGAGCGUUAUCCGGAUUUACUGGGUGUAAAGCGCGUGCAGGCGGUAUGGUAAGUUGGAUGUGAAAGCU
rnacentral:rRNA from 1 species